rnacentral:rRNA from 1 species
AUUGAACGCUGGCGGCAGGCUUAACACAUGCAAGUCGAGCGAGCGGCGGACGGGUGAGUAAUGUCUGGGAAACUGCCUGAUGGAGGGGGAUAACUACUGGAAACGGUAGCUAAUACCGCAUACCAUCAGAUGUGCCCAGAUGGGAUUAGCUAGUAGGUGGGGUAAUGGCGCACCUAGGAGACGAUCCCUAGCUGGUCUGAGAGGAUGACCAGCCAACCUGGAACUGUGACCCGUUCCAGAGUCCUACGUGAGGCAGCAGUGGGGAAUAUUGCAAAAUGGGCGCAAGCCUGAUGCAGCCAUGCCGCGUGUGUGAAGAAGGCCUUCGGGUUGUAAAGCACUUUCAGCGAGGAGGCGUUACUCGCAGAAGAAGCACCGGCUAACUCCGUGCCAGCCGCCGCGGUAAUUC